AAGUCUAUACAUUCAGGGAUCACUUCAAUAGUUGGGUACUAGAGAAGUUUCUCUGACUGUGUAGAAUACCAGAAACCAUGAGGACAGUUGUAGCAUUCUCUCCAGAAUAUGAAUCUGGCUCUUGAUUUUGCUUUACUAUUGCUGCCACUGGCCAUUGGUAAUCUUUUCUGCUCUCCUUCUGUGGAGCUGGAGGGAGAGGAAGCAGUCUGAGUGGU
ensembl:snoRNA U3 Small nucleolar RNA U3